rnacentral:rRNA from 1 species
GACGAACGCUGGCGGCGCGCUUAACACAUGCAAGUCGAGCGAGAACCAGGACUUCGGUCCUGGGGACAGCGGCGAACGGGUGAGUAACACGUGGAUAACCUGCCCUCGGCACCGGGAUAGCCCGGGGAAACCCGGAUUAAUACCGGAUGGCCCUUCCGGCUCACGAGCCGGUCGGAAAAGGUAGCUUCGGCCUCCGGCCGAGGAUGGGUCCGCGGCGGAUUAGCUUGUUGGUGGGGUAACGGCCUACCAAGGCUCCGAUCCGUAGCUGGUCUGAGAGGACGAGCAGCCACACUGGGACUGAGACACGGCCCAGACGCCUACGGGAGGCAGCAGUGGGGAAUCUUGCGCAAUGGGCGAAAGCCUGACGCAGCAACACCGUGUGGGCGACGAAGGCCUUCGGGUCGUAAAGCCCUGUUGUUGGGGACGAAGGACGAAGGGUUAAUAGCCCCUAGUCUGACGGUACCCCUCGAGGAAGCCCCGGCUAACUACGUGCCAGCCGCCGCUGUAAAAC